rnacentral:rRNA from 1 species
UACGGAGGGUGCAAGCGUUAUCCGGAUUCACUGGGUUUAAAGGGUGCGUAGGUGGGCUAGUAAGUCCGUGGUGAAAUCUCCAAGCUUAACUUGGAGACUGCCGUGGAUACUAUUAGUCUUGAAUAUUGUGGAGGUAAGCGGAAUAUGUCAUGUAGCGGUGAAAUGCUUAGAUAUGACAUAGAACACCGAUAGCGAAGGCAGCUUGCUACACAAUCAUUGACACUGAGGCACGAAAGCGUGGGGAUCAAACAGG